UGAACGCUGGCGGCAGGCCUAACACAUGCAAGUCGAGCGGUAGAGAGAAGCUUGCUUCUCUUGAGAGCGGCGGACGGGUGAGUAAUGCCUAGGAAUCUGCCUGGUAGUGGGGGAUAACGUCCGGAAACGGACGCUAAUACCGCAUACGUCCUACGGGAGAAAGCAGGGGACCUUCGGGCCUUGCGCUAUCAGAUGAGCCUAGGUCGGAUUAGCUAGUUGGUGGGUAAUGGCUCACCAAGGCGACGAUCCGUAACUGGUCUGAGAGGAUGAUCAGUCACACUGGAACUGAGACACGGUCCAGACUCCUACGGGAGGCAGCAGUGGGGAAUAUUGGACAAUGGGCGAAAGCCUGAUCCAGCCAUGCCGCGUGUGUGAAGAAGGUCUUCGGAUUGUAAAGCACUUUAAGUUGGGAGGAAGGGCAGUAAAUUAAUACUUUGCUGUUUUGACGUUACCGACAGAAUAAGCACCGGCUAACUCUGUGCCAGCAGCCGCGGUAAU
rnacentral:rRNA from 1 species